rnacentral:tRNA from 2 species
GGAGAUAUACCCAAGUCUGGCUGAAGGGAUCGGUCUUGAAAACCGACAGGCGGGUCAAACCGCGCGGGGGUUCGAAUCCCUCUAUCUCCUCCA